AGGGAAAAAAGUUUCAGGCAGGCAG
rnacentral:piRNA from 1 species